UGCCCAGCAACUCCUAUCCCUACCCCCUCGUGGUACUGGCCGGGGUACGAGUAACCUUGGGGAAGAUCGGGUAACCAACCCCCGGUGGGAACUUUGGUCGUAUGCUGACAGGGAAGG
rnacentral:ribozyme from 1 species